rnacentral:rRNA from 1 species
UCCAGACUCCUACGGGAGGCAGCAGUGGGGAAUAUUGCACAAUGGGGGGAACCCUGAUGCAGCGACGCCGCGUGGGUGAAGAAGUCAUUCGUGACGUAAAGCCCUAUCAGCAGGGAAGAAAAUGACGGUACCUGACUAAGAAGCCCCGGCUAACUACGUGCCAGCAGCCGUGGUAAUACGUAGGGGGCAAGCGUUAUCCGGAUUUACUGGGUGUAAAGGGAGCGUAGACGGCGAUGCAAGUCUGAAGUGAAAGGCGGGGGCCCAACCCCCGGACUGCUUUGGAAACUGUAUAGCUGGAGUGCAGGAGAGGUAAGUGGAAUUCCUAGUGUAGCGGUGAAAUGCGUAGAUAUUAGGAGGAACACCAGUGGCGAAGGCGGCUUACUGGACUGUAACUGACGUUGAGGCUCGAAAGCGUGGGGAGCAAACAGGAUUAGAUACCCCCGUAAC